UUUUUAUGUAUAUAUAUAUAUUAGCAAUAAAAAUUACAACAACACAAGUAUUAUAUUGUAGGAACCUCGACAAACUACAGACGUCUACUACAUAUAUAUAUAAUUAUAAUAUCGUUAUAAUACGAAUUGCAAUAAUAUUUAGCCGACUAUAUUUAAUAAAUAAUAAUAAUAAAUUUAAUGAUACGUUCGAUUAGCGAAUUUCAGUCGAAAUUAUUAUACGGUAAAACUUCUACAUAACGGCGACCCGAGGGACCGGAAAUAAUGACCGCUAUUUAGAGGUGACGACCAUUGUUUACAGGUGUCUUACAGAGUCCGUAACACUUGACAGGACCGAAAAAAUGACGGUUACACAGGGGCGAACGUCAGCGGAAGUUUUACCGUACUAUACGAGUGCUCUGAACUGUUUUACGCGCGGAUACGAUUGUGUCGUUACUAUACGAUCGUCAUAGUUAUAAUAUGCAAUGCAAAUAUUCCGACGUUCGCUCAUUUAUUAUAUGUUAUAAAACGCUUUCCGACUCGGCGAAAAAUCAGCGCCACGCCACGGAACACCGGCACGACACAUUGGAAAAUAUAGAAACGACAAUAGCAUGAUAUGUGUUUACGCGGCGAGUUGCUCUCGCGACAGUGACGAUACGCGUGGCACGGCAUGCCAGUUGCUUUCACGAUAGCCGCCGUCGCGACCGCAGUGCGCGAUAGUGACCGAUAGCGUUUUCCGUCUGAUCGCACUCAGUCAGUGGACGCCGCCGCAUUCCUCACUGGUGUUUUCGCACGCGUUUAGACGGGAUUAAUACUUCGCCGCCAUGAUAUGAUGGAAUUGACGUUAUCAAUAGUAUAACACUGCGCCGGCUGACGACGACAGGCGACAUAAUAUAGUAGGCGAAAAUCGUACGCCAGUGUACAUAGGACACGGAUGCGGUCGGACGGAAAACGCGCGGUCGGGAAUUUCGCGAUUUUCACGAUAGAAUCUACGCAACGUUAUCGUAUAAUGGUGUCCAACUCUGUCAUCCGGUUCGUGGACCGGGCUUGGCGAGCGGUGAAAUCACAUUCGGAUCGGAAUUCGUACCGUGAAAAUCGUGAGAAAAAGAAUAAUCGACUAAAUACACGAUAUUUCAAUAAAAUUAUGCGAAUCGUUAGUAAUUAUUGAUUAUAGCUUAUUAUUAUGUACAUACGAUUAUAAUCGGUUUUCGUGCGAUACACAACACGCGUGGCAUAUAUGGGAGGAGCGAAAGGCUAAAGGCCUCUAGUAUAUCGUUUUUCAAACGUGUUUUUGAUUAUGUUGAAUGCAAUUUUCGGGACCGUUUAUAAGUGCACACGCGUUGGUACGCCGACAAAAGCAUUACGAAGCGAUAAAUAGGAUAACGCGAUAUUAUGGUUACGUGAUCAUAUGAUUAUACAAUACGAGUAAAUAAUAUAAAUGUUUUAAAAGUACUUAUCGAGUAAUCGAGCAUUUCGAAAUUUGAAAUUUCACCGAGUUCAACUAAGUUGAUCUUAAACGAGUGAUCGGAGAGAAACUGACUGCGCGUAGUUAAAUAAAACGAUUACGUAUUUUAGCCCCCCCCCCCGAAGAAUAUUUACUCUGGAGUUGGCCCAAACGCGGCAUAAGCGCCGUGACGCGUGAACGCGAAACGAGGCCGUACCCUAUAAUAUUGUUAUAGUAUUUCGAUUAAUAAUAUUUAUUGAAACAAUAAAGUCAAAAACAAAAUCAUUAAAAUAAUUUACGUAAUUUUUAAACAAUUUGUGGACUUUUUUGGUGACCGAGGCGUUUAAAGAAGGAAUGUAAAAUGUUUACUGCUGAUAGACGGUGAAGUUAUCGCAUUGAAAAGUGCAUUGCGCGUCGCAUGAUUGCGUCAAACUAUGCGUAACACAAAUUGCUCUUAUCGUUUUGAAAAUUGCGUAUGUUAAAAUGAAAAGCUAUAAUAACGAAAAAAAAACCUUACUAAAUGGUUCGGUUACCGGCUUUUCGACUUCGACGGACGUUUCCUAUAAUUUUUUUAUCUAUAUUUAUAAGUUUAAAAAAAAAAAACAAAAACAAAAAAACAUUUUAAUUGUAAAAAAAAAAAACAAAAAC
rnacentral:lncRNA from 1 species